rnacentral:tRNA from 1 species
UCCCUGGUAGUCCAGUGGCUAAGACUCUGUGUUCCCAAUUCAGGGGGCCUGGGUUUGAUCCCUGGUCAGGGAA